UAGAGUUUGUCCUGGCUCAGGAUGAACGCUAGCUACAGGCUUAACACAUGCAAGUCGAGGGGCAGCAUGUUGGUUGCUUGCAACCAAUGAUGGCGACCGGCGCACGGGUGCGUAACAGGUGUGCAAUCUGUCCUAUACCAAGGGAUAGCCCGCUGAAAGGCGGAUUAAAACUUUAUGUGAGACGAAGCCGCAUGACUUUGUUUUGAAACGCGAGGGUAUAGGUUGAGCACGCUUCUGAUUAGGUAGUUGGUGAGGUAACGGCCCACCAAGCCGACGAUCAGUAGGGGUUCUGAGAGGAAGGUCCCCCACAUUGGAACUGAGACACGGUCCAAACUCCUACGGGAGGCAGCAGUGAGGAAUAUUGGUCAAUGGACGAGAGUCUGAACCAGCCAAGUCGCGUGAAAGGAUGAAGGUUCUAUGGAUUGUAAACUUCUUUUGUCCGAGGGUAAAGUGAGCCACGUGUGGUUUAUUGCAAGUAUCGGACGAUAAGCAUCGGCUAACUCCGUGCCAGCAGCCGCGGUAAUACGGAGGAUGCGAGCGUUAUCCGGAUUUAUUGG
rnacentral:rRNA from 1 species